rnacentral:rRNA from 1 species
GACAGAGGGCGCAAGCGUUGUUCGGAAUUACUGGGCGUAAAGAGCACGUAGGCGGUCUGCUAAGUCGUGUGUGAAAUCCCACGGCUCAACCGGGGAAUUGCGCUCGAUACUGGCAGGCUCGAGGUGGGUAGGGGUGAGCGGAACUCCAGGUGGAGCGGUGAAAUGCGUAGAUAUCUGGAGGAACACCGGUGGCGAAAGCGGCUCACUGGACCCAAUCUGACACUGAGGCACGAAGGCCAGGGGAGCAAACGGG